UGCGGGGUGGAGCAGCCAGGUAGCUCGUCGGGCUCAUAACCCGAAGGUCCUCAGUUCGAAUCUGAGCCCCGCUACCA
rnacentral:tRNA from 1 species